GGUGUAGGCGCAGCGAAAGCGAGUCUGAAUAGGGCGACUGAGUAUGUUGGAUUAGACCCGAAACCCGGCGAUCUAGGCAUGAGCAGGUUGAAGGUGCGGUAACACGCACUGGAGGACCGAACCCACGUAUGUUGAAAAAUGCGGGGAUGACGUGUGGCUAGGGGUGAAAGGCCAAUCAAACUUGCUGAUAGCUGGUUCUCCGCGAAAUCUAUUUAGGUAGAGCGUCAAUUGAAUACCCCGGGGGGUAGAGCACUGGAUGGGUAAUGGGGCCCC
rnacentral:rRNA from 14 species